CUUGAUUUUGAUCUAUUUGGGUUUGUGUUGGUUAUCAGUUCGAGCGUUGUUGUUGAUGUUGCGAUCUGUUUUUCUGGGGUUUGUUGCAGUGAGGAGGACAAUGACAGGGAGGAGGAGGACGAGGAGUAGGAAGGCCGUAAGCACCAACAGAUUGAGGAAGGGAGGAGUACGGUACCGUUCGUGGGUGGUCAUCAUGUCUUGGGACGCUGGUUACAUAUCGGCAUAGUACCUUUCACGUUUAGCAAAUUUCUGCAAUGUGAGGAGGGGGUUGGCAUGUAAUAGUUUUCUCAUUCUCCAUGCUCGUUUCAUUUUCAACGACAUAUAUGUCCUCGCAAUGUCAGAUUUCACCAUUCCAGUGGAAUUAGACCUUCUGAACGGAAUUUAUAAAUUGUAGCAUUGCCGAGUCUUUUGAUCUUUCAUAGGGAUUAUCAUGUGAUGCUCUUACUACAUGAUUUCA